GAAAUGCGAUAAGUAAUGUGAAUUGCAGAAUUCAGUGAAUCAUCGAAUCUUUGAACGCACCUUGCGCUCCUUGGUAUUCCUUGGAGCAUGCCUGUUUGAGUAUCAUGAAAUCUUCAAAGUAAAUCUUUUGUUAACUCAAUUGGUUUCUACUUUGGUAUUGGAGGUCUUUGCAGCUUCACACCUGCUCCUCUUUGUUCAUUAGCUGGAUCUCAGUGUUAUGCUUGGUUCCACUCGGCGUGAUAAGUUAUCUAUCCUUGAGGACACUGUAAAAGGUGGCCAAGGUAAAUGCAGAUGAACCGCUUCUAAUAGUCCAUUGACUUGGACAAUACUUUUAUGAUCUGAUCUCAAAUCAGGUAGGACUACCCGCUGAACUUAAGC
rnacentral:misc_RNA from 1 species